rnacentral:lncRNA from 1 species
GAGGUAAAUAACUUCCAGUUCCAAGAUACUGUGAAAUGGCUCAUGAAGGAAUUCAAAGUUCUACCGAAAAUCAAUAAAGGCUUUCGAACAGAAUUUGAUAAUGGAAAAGUCAGUGAAAAAAUUGAAGUACCCGUUAGGAGGACACUGGAGAAUUUCAAGAAAAUGAAGCAGAAAACCAUAACACUUGGCCCCAUGGAAAGUGAAAAGCUACCAGCCAUAUUCUCCGUCCUGUAAUCUCUCAGUUUCAUGAGCCUCGACUUUACUUCCCUGUGUAUAUCUGCACUCGAAGACUCUGCCUAUGACCUUUUCAGCCUCUGGAUCCCAAAAAAGAUGUUCUACCUAUCAGAUACGUGUUGAAGAGUUUCCUUGGUCCAGUGAGCUGUGACUUGUGAGAAUGGAGAUCACAAUGUAUAUUAUUCCCUGUGCCUACCCUUUUAUCCUAGAGUAUCAACCAACAUAAAUUAAUGGUGCUGAUGUAAGCAUGGAAACAAUGAUUUACAAAACACAACAACAACAAACAAAAAACUGUUAAACUGUGAUUAAAAAGAAAAUCAACAAACAAAAAACCCUUCUACUGAUGAAUCCAGUGUUCAUU